rnacentral:rRNA from 1 species
GAGUUUGAUCAUGGCUCAGAUUGAACGCUGGCGGUAUGCUUAACACAUGCAAGUCGAACGGUAACAGGAGAGAGCUUGCUCUUUUGCUGACGAGUGGCGGACGGGUGAGUAAUGCGUAGGAAUCUGCCUAGUAGUGGGGGACAAUGUGUGGAAACGCACGCUAAUACCGCAUACGCCCUACGGGGGAAAGCGGGGGAUCUUCGGACCUCGCGCUAUUAGAUGAGCCUACGUUAGAUUAGCUAGUUGGUGGGUAAAGGCCUACCAAGGCGACGAUCUAUAGCUGGUCUGAGAGGAUGAUCAGCCACACUGGGGACUGAGACACGGCCCAGACUCCUACGGGAGGCAGCAGUGGGGAAUAUUGGACAAUGGCGAAAGCCUGAUCCAGCAAUACCGCGUGUGUGAAGAAGGCCUGAGGGUUGUAAAGCACUUUCAAUUGUGAAGAAAUAUUUAAGGUUAAUAACCUUAAUUUGACGUUAACUUAGUAAGAAGCACCGGCUAACUCCGUGCCAGCCGCCGCU